CCUACGGGAGGCAGCAGUGGGGAAUAUUGCGCAAUGGGCGAAAGCCUGACGCAGCGACGCCGCGUGAGGGAUGAAGGUCUUCGGAUCGUAAACCUCUGUCAGCAGGGAAGAACGGUCACUGUGCUAAUCAGCAGUGUAUUGACGGUACCUGCAAAGGAAGCACCGGCUAACUCCGGGCCAGCAGCCGCGGUAAUACGGAGGGUGCGAGCGUUAAUCGGAAUUACUGGGCGUAAAGCGCUCGUAGGCGGUAUGUCAAGUCAAGGGUGAAAUUCCCGCGCUCAACGUGGGAACUGCAUUUGAUACUGGGAAACUGGAGUGUGUGAGAGGAUGGUGGAAUUCGAGGUGUAGGAGUGAAAUCCGUAGAUAUCACGAGGAACAUCAGUGGCGAAGGCGACUAUCUGGCACAUAACUGACGCUGAGGAGCGAAAGCGUGGGUAGCAAACAGGAUUAGAUACCCUUGUAGUC
rnacentral:rRNA from 1 species